rnacentral:rRNA from 1 species
CAGCAGCCACGGGAAUACGUAGGGUGCGAGCGUUAAUCGGAAUUACUGGGCGUAAAGCGUGCGCAGGCGGUUAUAUAAGACAGAUGUGAAAUCCCCGGGCUCAACCUGGGACCUGCAUUUGUGACUGUAUAGCUAGAGUACGGUGGAGGGGGAUGGAAUUCCGCGUGUAGCAGUGAAAUGCGUAGAUAUGCGGAGGAACACCGAUGGCGAAGGCAAUCCCCUGGACCUGUACUGACGCUCAUGCACGAAAGCGUGGGGAGCAAACAGGAUUAGAUACCCGAGUAGUCCCUGUCUCUUAUAA